rnacentral:tRNA from 1 species
GUUUCUGUAGUUAAAUAAUAACGGUGGUUUUUCAAGCCAUUAUUCUUGGUUAAAAUCCGAGUGGAAAUU